UACGGAGGAUCCGAGCGUUAUCCGGAUUUACUGGGUUUAAAGGGUGCGUAGGCGGCUCCCUCAGUCAGCGGUGAAAUGUGCAGGCUCAACCUGCAACCUGCCGUUGAUACUGGGGAGCUUGAGUUGGGUUGAGGCAGGCGGAAUGUGCGGUGUAGCGGUGAAAUGCUUAGAUAUCGCACAGAACGCCGAUUGCGUAGGCAGCUUGCCAAGCCCACACUGACGCUGAGGCACGAAAGCGUGGGGAUCAAACAGG
rnacentral:rRNA from 1 species